CAAGAACUUUCAGUCACUUUUUUCGCUUUAUUCAACUGCCAUCUUUGUUUACACAGACUAGCCGUGAUGAAAAAUUUUAGUAUCACCAUCAUUGCACUAGCCGGGACUCUCAUCCAGUGCAUAAUGCAGCAUGAUUCAAGGUGACUCUGCGGCAAGCAAAAAACAUAAACGGCAGUCAUCCACCUACAUCCGGAAGAUUUCGUCAUGGAUAGAAGUGGUCUGAUGCGGUGGCGAUUGGCAGUUCGAACAGCUGCGCAUACUAAAGUGAACUCAAGAA